GACGAACGCUGGCGGCGUGCUUAACACAUGCAAGUCGAGCGGCAAGGCCCUUCGGGGUCCUCCAGCGGCGAACGGGGGGGUGACACGUGAGUAACCAGCCCCAGACCUUGGGAUACGCCUCGGAAACGGGGGCUAAUACCAGAUACGUACCAGCUUCGCCCUGGGGCUGUGUGGAAAGGUGUUCGGGUUGGGGUGGGCUCGGGGCUUAUCAGCUUGGUGGUGGGGUGAUGGGCUGCCAAGGCGACGACGGGUAGCCGGCCGUAGAGGGCGACCGGCCACACUGGGACUGCGGCACGGCCCAGACUCCUACGGGAGGCAGCAGUGGGGAAUAUGGCACAAUGGGCCGAAGCCUGAUGCAGCGACGCCGCGUUAGUGAUGACGGCCUUCGGGUUGUAAACCUCUUUCGGCAGGGACGAAGCGUAAGUGACGGUACCUGCAGAAGAAGCGCCGGCCAACUACGUG
rnacentral:rRNA from 1 species